rnacentral:rRNA from 1 species
CCUACGGGAGGCUGCAGUGAGGAAUAUUGGUCAAUGGUCGCGAGCCUGAACCAGCCAAGUAGCGUGAAGGAUGACUGCCCUACGUGUUGUAAACUUCUUUUAUCAAGGAAUAAAGUCAGGCACGUGUGCCUUUUUGUGUGUACCUUAUGAAUAAGGAUCGGCUAACUCCGUGCCAGCAGCCGCGGUAAUACGGAGGAUUCGAGCGUUAUCCGGAUUUAUUGGGUUUAAAGGGAGCGUAGAUGGGUUGUUAAGUCAGUUGUGAAAGUUUGCGGCUCAACCGUAAAAUUGCAGUUGAUACUGGCAGUCUUGAGUACAGUAGAGGUAGGCGGAAUGCGUGGUGUAGCGGGGAAAUGCUUAGAUAUCACGAAGAACUCCGAUUGCGAAGGCAGCUUACUAAACUGCCACUGACAUUGAUGCUCGAAAGUGUGGGUAUCAAACAGGAGUAGAUACCCCUGUAGUC